rnacentral:lncRNA from 1 species
CCAUCGCCAUAAAACUCAUUCAAACCAGCAAAAUUUCGCUGGUAAAAUACCAGGUCUGCCGGCAAUAAGUCCGGCGACUCUCAGCCAAGUCAACCGCUGCUGCAACCCCCGUUUUCCCCUUUCCCAUCAUCGACGUCACCCUUUUUCCCCUUUUCCAUCACCGGAAACUGAAGGAUAACAAGUGCUCCAUCCCCCUCCCUUCUCCUCUUUCCAGUCGCUGUCAUCAUCAUUGGCUGGCGACUCAGCGACCAAGCAUGCCAGAUCCAGUCAUUCAUCUCAAAAUUCGCCAAAAAAUGGUAUAAAUAGGACGAUAGUCUUUUUUCCGUCACCCAAGUUGCUGGUAAAUAUGCCAACCAAAACCAUCCAAAAUUGAUCAUUCUUGUGUUAGUUUCGGUGCACUUUUGCCGAAAUCGCCAUUAACUAUCUUCGUCAACGGGCUUAAGUGAAUUCUAACCAUAUUGUCGCAUAUAGGAGGAACAGGGAAUAAAAGAAAAUAUUAUGUUUGUUGAUGGAAGUUUUCAAUUUUUUGUUUCAUUAUAUUAGUAUAUAGUUUUUAUUUUAAAUAAAAUAAUAUAACAUAUUUUUAU